rnacentral:rRNA from 1 species
GGCUACACACGUGCUACAAUGGGUAGUACAGAGAGUCGCAAAGCCGCGAGGUGGAGCUAAUCUCAGAAAACUAUUCUUAGUUCGGAUUGUACUCUGCGACUCGAGUACAUGAAGUUGGAAUCGCUAGUAAUCGCGAAUCAGCAAUGUCGCGGUGAAUACGUUCUCGGGUCUUGUACACACCGCCCGUCACACCACGAGAGUUGGUUGCACCUGAAGUAGCAGGCCUAACCGUAAGGAGGGAUGCUCCGAGGGUGUGAUUAGCGAUUGGGGUGAAGUCGUAACAAGGUAUCCGUACGGGAACGU